ACGGCGAGUGAAGCGGCAAAAGCUCAAAUUUGAAAUCUGGUACCUUCGGUGCCCGAGUUGUAAUUUGGAGAGGGCAACUUUGGGGCCGUUCCUUGUCUAUGUUCCUUGGAACAGGACGUCAUAGAGGGUGAGAAUCCCGUGUGGCGAGGAGUGCGGUUCUUUGUAAAGUGCCUUCGAAGAGUCGAGUUGUCUGGGAAUGCAGCUCUAAGUGGGUGGUAAAUUCCAUCUAAAGCUAAAUAUUGGCGAGAGACCGAUAGCGAACAAGUACAGUGAUGGAAGGAUGAAAAGAACUUUGAAAAGAGAGUGAAAAAGUACGUGAAAUUGUUGAAAGGGAAGGGCAUUUGAUCAGACAUGGUGUUUUGUGCCCUCUGCUCCUUGUGGGUAGGGGAAUCUCGCAUUUCACUGGGCCAGCAUCAGUUUUGGUGGCAGGAUAAAUCCAUAGGAAUGUAGCUUGCCUCGGUAAGUAUUAUAGCCUGUGGGAAUACUGCCAGCUGGGACUGAGGACUGCGACGUAAGUCAAGGAUGC
rnacentral:rRNA from 1 species